GCUAUUUCAUGUUGAAACACCAGUUCUUUUAUGAUCCCUAAAGUUAAGCAACAUCGAGCCUGGUCAGUUCCUGGAUGGGUGACUACUUGAGAAUAUCAGGUGCUGUAAG